rnacentral:rRNA from 1 species
UACGUAGGGUGCGAGCGUUAAUCGGAAUUACUGGGCGUAAAGCGUGCGCAGGCGGUUCGUUAAGUUCGAUGUGAAAGCCCCGGGCUCAACCUGGGAGUGGCAUUGGAAACUGGCGGACUCGAGUGUGGCAGAGGGGGGUGGAAUUCCACGUGUAGCAGUGAAAUGCGUAGAGAUGCGGAGGAACACCGAUGGCGAAGGCAGCCCCCUGGGUUAACACUGACGCUCAGGCACGAAAGCGUGGGGAGCAAACAGG